GGAGUCCUGAAGACUGGAUCUCUUCCCUCAAUUAUUUCACAUGGUGGCUCUAAUUCCUGAAUAAAAUUUUUGUGCAAGUAAGUGAUGUAAAUAGCCUGAACAGUUGAACUCUAGUCCUCAGGAGAAGACUGGUGGAGGCCUCCCUGGUUGAAGCUGGGAGUGAGGACCAGGGAAAGGGAAAGGGAAGAUGAAAGUAUAUCCCAGCCACACAGGGACAUUUGUGCUGGUGCAAGAAACCUACAUCAAAGUGGCCACAAGAUGAGCUAAUAGAAGAUGGACGAAUGUGACUCCACAUUUAUUGUGCUUUAUGUGGAAUCUGGACUUUAUUGGAAGGGAGGAGCCUGUGUGUGCCAUUUUCCUGCUCCCUGUCUCUCCUUCCCAACCUGACAGUGCAGGAGCCCCCUUGGAUCUCAGUGUCCCAUGUAGGGUUGACUUUACCAGCCCUUGGGAUUCUUACCUCUUCUAUUAUUUGAAGCACACACUAACCCUUUCUCCCUUCCCCACCUUUUUUUCCCUGAAGAAAUAUAAUAAAGGAAUAAAGGCCUAUCUAUCUGGAAAAAAAAA
rnacentral:lncRNA from 1 species